UUUUUGAACAACUCAGUUUUGGGUUCCUCUGAACAUCAAGAAAAGCCUGAAUGUUGUGUCUUCAAAUUCAGGAUAACACUGGCCUCUGCCUCUCAGCUUGUAGCAUUCAUGUCUGCAGACAGUCUUCGCUCAAGCAUAGAAAAAAGAGCUCUCUACUGCCUCAUCUAUAAAAUGGAGCAGGCAAUAAACUACCUGCCAAAUUGGAGUCAGCAAUGAGUUGCCACGGGAAGCACAGUGUGUGAGGAUGGCCAUAAAUGUGUACAGCGGGAAAAUGAGAGAGACGGUGUUCCAUAAGUCAAACCAGGAACAAAGAACAGAAAGCUGAAAGAAUGAGCCCAGCUGAAGGCUCUCAGACAGAGAACUGUAUUAGGCUCCCCUCUCCACUGAGAACCAUUUUCAUCACUCAAUAAAAUUCUCCACUUUCACCACCCUUCAACCUUCCAUGUGACCCCAUUCUUCAUGGACACUGGACAAGAGCUCGAGACCCACCCAGUGCAGUGGUGCUGGGCAGCUCCUCCCUCCCUGAGGGCUGUUCUGCCAACCUCACGACACCAUCAUAGAAGACUUCAGAGACUGACUGUUGCAGGUUGAACUGUGUCCUCCAAAAAGAUAUGUUGAGUCCCUAAUCUCCAGUACCUGUGUAUGUGACCCUAUCCGGAAAUAGAGUUUUUGUGGAUGUAAUCAUACUGGAUUUGGAUGAACCCUAAUCGAAGAUGACCAGGGUCCUUCUAAGAAGAGAAUAGAUGCAUGUGCGCGCAAGCGCGCGCGCGCACACACACACACACACACACACACACACACACACACAGAGGACCAUGUGACAGCUGAGAGAUUGGAGUGACGUGUCUGCAAGCAAAAAAUGCCAAGGAUUGCCAGCAACCACCUAUGGUCUCCUCCCCUAGAUCAUCUAGAGAGAACACAGCCAUGCUGACAUCAUCAUUUCAGGCCUCUAUCCUCUGGAACUGCAAUAUAAUAAACUUCUGUAGUUUUAAGCCACUCCAUUUGUGCUACUUUGUUAUAGAAGCACUAGGAACCUAUUACUCUCACCUUUGCUUUUCCCAUUCACUCUACGGACUUUCCUUUUUAAGCUUCCCUCCCCAAACAUUGUCUCUCAUAGGAUUCUCAUCCAUGUAUUUGUGCAUGAACUUCCCCGCAUCUUAUGAAAUAUCUGAGUAAAUGUUUA
rnacentral:lncRNA from 10 species